GAUGAACGCUAGCGGGAGGCCUAACACAUGCAAGCUGAGCGGUAUUGUUUCUUCGGAAACGAGAGAGCGGCGUACGGGUGCGGAACACGUGUGCAACCUGCCUUUAUCAGGGGGAUAGCCUUUCGAAAGGAAGAUUAAUACUCCAUAAUAUAAUAGAUGGCAUCAUUUAUUAUUGAAAACUCCGGUGGAUAGAGAUGGGCACGCGCAAGAUUAGAUAGUUGGUGAGGUAACGGCUCACCAAGUCAAUGAUCUUUAGGGGGCCUGAGAGGGUGAUCCCCCACACUGGUACUGAGACACGGACCAGACUCCUACGGGAGGCAGCAGUGAGGAAUAUUGGACAAUGGGUUAGCGCCUGAUCCAGCCAUCCCGCGUGAAGGACGACGGCCCUAUGGGUUGUAAACUUCUUUUGUACAGGGAUAAACCUAUCUACGUGUAGAUAGCUGAAGGUACUGUACGAAUAAGCACCGGCUAACUCCGUGCCAGCAGCCGCGGUAA
rnacentral:rRNA from 1 species